GGCGUUUGAACUGUGGGGGUGAUGAGGUGAGAAGAGUAGCGGAAGGCGGAACCGAGUCCAAAAUUGACCGAAAAGUGCAAAUCGUGCUGAGCCCUGAUUGAUAAAGAUAGUCAAAUGCGCGCGUCCGCCCUACUAUCGCGAUAAGGGACAAUCUAUUCUUUUCUGCGCGCGCAUUCUGACUUUGCCUCUCGUAUUGUUCUGUCAAACCUAGGUAUAUACGAAAGUAUAUAAUCCAGCAUGUUUAUAAUGCUGGGUAGAGUAUCUAUAAUAAGAGUACGGACAAUAGAGUAAUGAUCAAUGAUUGGUCCGCUAAAUUGAGGCAAAAGCGGAAGUUGCAUAUCCGUAUGUACUAUCAGUGUACGUAUACCAUUUAUACUGUUUCCAGCGAGUUUUGUAUACGUCAAAAUCGUCAAAAGUGAGUGGUUUGUAUAUUGGUCAUUUUAUUUGGCGAGAAGUCAUUUAGAUUGAGAAGAAGGAGAGAGCAAUGUCUGCGGGUGUGUAGCAGAUUGCACAACUAUGCCAAAAAAGUUAUAAAAUGUGUCGUUUUCCACGAAUCUCAGAAAGAAGAAAAAUUUGCGCUAAAAACACAGAAUGAUAAGACUGGACUUCGUCUAAUUCGGAAUUGUUAUGUGAAAUUAGUAAGAAUUUGCUUUUAUGAUUUUUUUAAUUUAAAUAAAUUAUUAAACGAUGUAUAUUAUUCCAAGUACAUUUUGAUGCCACGAAUGUAUUGUUGCCGCGGGAUUAAAGACGCGCCAAGCGCACAUUUGAUGUACUUACGCAUAUUAAAUGUAUCACAGAGGAGACAUUAUUUUAUGUCAAUUCUUCAAGGUUUCAGUUUUUUAAAAGCAUGGAAUCAAUGAUUAAACAAAAUUUGGAAGUUCUUUCAAUUCAAGACAA